UUAAGUUAGAAAGGGCGCACGGUGGAUGCCUUGACACUAGGAGUCGAUGAAGGACGGGACUAACGCCGAUAUGCUUCGGGGAGCUGUAAGUAAGCUUUGAUCCGAAGAUUUCCGAAUGGGGAAACCCACCAUACGUAAUGGUAUGGUAUCCUUAUCUGAAUACAUAGGGUAAGGAAGACAGACCCAGGGAACUGAAACAUCUAAGUACCUGGAGGAAGAGAAAGCAAAUGCGAUUUCCUGAGUAGCGGCGAGCGAAACGGAACAUAGCCCAAACCAAGAGGCUUGCCUCUUGGGGUUGUAGGACAUUCUAUACGGAGUUACAAAGGAACGAGGUAGACGAAGCGACCUGGAAAGGUCCGUCGUAGAGGGUAACAACCCCGUAGUCGAAACUUCGUUCUCUCUUGAAUGUAUCCUGAGUACGGCGGAACACGUGAAAUUCCGUCGGAAUCUGGGAGGACCAUCUCCCAAGGCUAAAUACUCCCUAGUGAUCGAUAGUGAACCAGUACCGUGAGGGAAAGGUGAAAAGCACCCCGGAAGGGGAGUGAAAGAGAUCCUGAAACCGUGUGCCUACAAAUAGUCAGAGCCCGUUAACGGGUGAUGGCGUGCCUUUUGUAGAAUGAACCGGCGAGUUACGAUCCCGUGCGAGGUUAAGCUGAAGAGGCGGAGCCGCAGCGAAAGCGAGUCUGAAUAGGGCGUUUAGUACGUGGUCGUAGACCCGAAACCAGGUGAUCUACCCAUGUCCAGGGUGAAGUUCAGGUAACACUGAAUGGAGGCCCGAACCCACGCACGUUGAAAAGUGCGGGGAUGAGGUGUGGGUAGCGGAGAAAUUCCAAUCGAACCUGGAGAUAGCUGGUUCUCCCCGAAAUAGCUUUAGGGCUAGCCUUAAGUGUAAGAGUCUUGGAGGUAGAGCACUGAUUGGACUAGGGGUCCUCAUCGGAUUACCGAAUUCAGUCAAACUCCGAAUGCCAAUGACUUAUCCUUAGGAGUCAGACUGCGAGUGAUAAGAUCCGUAGUCAAAAGGGAAACAGCCCAGACCGCCAGCUAAGGUCCCAAAGUGUGUAUUAAGUGGAAAAGGAUGUGGAGUUGCUUAGACAACUAGGAUGUUGGCUUAGAAGCAGCCACCAUUUAAAGAGUGCGUAAUAGCUCACUAGUCGAGUGACUCUGCGCCGAAAAUGUACCGGGGCUAAAUACACCACCGAAGCUGCGGAUUGAUACCGAAUGGUAUCAGUGGUAGGGGAGCGUUCUAAGGACAGUGAAGUCAGACCGUAAGGACUGGUGGAGUGCUUAGAAGUGAGAAUGCCGGUAUGAGUAGCGAAAGACGGGUGAGAAUCCCGUCCACCGAAUGCCUAAGGUUUCCUGAGGAAGGCUCGUCCGCUCAGGGUUAGUCAGGACCUAAGCCGAGGCCGACAGGCGUAGGCGAUGGACAACAGGUUGAUAUUCCUGUACCACCUCUUUAUCGUUUGAGCAAUGGAGGGACGCAGAAGGAUAGAAGAAGCGUGCGAUUGGUUGUGCACGUCCAAGCAGUUAGGCUGAUAAGUAGGCAAAUCCGCUUAUCGUAAAGGCUGAGCUGUGAUGGGGAAGCUCCUUAUGGAGCGAAGUCUUUGAUUCCCCGCUGCCAAGAAAAGCUUCUAGCGAGAUAAAAGGUGCCUGUACCGCAAACCGACACAGGUAGGCGAGGAGAGAAUCCUAAGGUGUGCGAGAGAACUCUGGUUAAGGAACUCGGCAAAAUGACCCCGUAACUUCGGGAGAAGGGGUGCUUUCUUAACGGAAAGCCGCAGUGAAUAGGCCCAAGCGACUGUUUAGCAAAAACACAGCUCUCUGCGAAGCCGUAAGGCGAAGUAUAGGGGGUGACACCUGCCCGGUGCUGGAAGGUUAAGGAGAGGGGUUAGCGUAAGCGAAGCUCUGAACUGAAGCCCCAGUAAACGGCGGCCGUAACUAUAACGGUCCUAAGGUAGCGAAAUUCCUUGUCGGGUAAGUUCCGACCCGCACGAAAGGUGUAACGAUUUGGGCACUGUCUCAACCAGAGACUCGGUGAAAUUAUAGUACCUGUGAAGAUGCAGGUUACCCGCGACAGGACGGAAAGACCCCGUGGAGCUUUACUGUAGCCUGAUAUUGAAUUUUGGUACAGUUUGUACAGGAUAGGCGGGAGCCAUUGAAACCGGAGCGCUAGCUUCGGUGGAGGCGCUGGUGGGAUACCGCCCUGACUGUAUUGAAAUUCUAACCUACGGGUCUUAUCGACCCGGGAGACAGUGUCAGGUGGGCAGUUUGACUGGGGCGGUCGCCUCCUAAAGUGUAACGGAGGCGCCCAAAGGUUCCCUCAGAAUGGUUGGAAAUCAUUCGUAGAGUGCAAAGGCAUAAGGGAGCUUGACUGCGAGACCUACAAGUCGAGCAGGGACGAAAGUCGGGCUUAGUGAUCCGGUGGUUCCGCAUGGAAGGGCCAUCGCUCAACGGAUAAAAGCUACCCCGGGGAUAACAGGCUUAUCUCCCCCAAGAGUCCACAUCGACGGGGAGGUUUGGCACCUCGAUGUCGGCUCAUCGCAUCCUGGGGCUGUAGUCGGUCCCAAGGGUUGGGCUGUUCGCCCAUUAAAGCGGUACGCGAGCUGGGUUCAGAACGUCGUGAGACAGUUCGGUCCCUAUCCGUCGUGGGCGUAGGAAAUUUGAGAGGAGCUGUCCUUAGUACGAGAGGACCGGGAUGGACGCACCGCUGGUGUACCAGUUGUUCUGCCAAGGGCAUAGCUGGGUAGCUAUGUGCGGAAGGGAUAAGUGCUGAAAGCAUCUAAGCAUGAAGCCCCCCUCAAGAUGAGAUUUCCCAUAGCGUAAGCUAGUAAGAUCCCUGAAAGAUGAUCAGGUUGAUAGGUUCGAGGUGGAAGCAUGGUGACAUGUGGAGCUGACGAAUACUAAUAGAUCGAGGACUUAACCAU
rnacentral:rRNA from 2 species